rnacentral:lncRNA from 1 species
AUGCCAUCCCAUCUCCAUCCCCCUGCCAUCACAUCUCCAUCCCCAUCCCAUCUCCAUCCCCCUGCCAUCCCCAUCCCAUCUCCAUCCCCCUGCCAUCUCCAUCCCAUCUCCACCCCCAUACCAUCCCAUCUCCAUCCCAGCCCCAUCCCCAUCCCUUUGCCCACCCUAUGCCCAUGCCAUGCCCAAGCCCACACCAUCUCCAGCCCUGUGCCAUCCUAUCCCCGUGCCUUUGCUCACCCCAGGCCCUGUCAUUCCCUUCCCCAUCCCACCCCAAGCCCACGCCAUGCCCACAGUGACCCUGUGCCAAGCCCCCCCACCCUCACUGCUGCCGUGCCUCUGCCACCUGCACGCACUCACCACCUUUCUGCUCAUGCCCGCACCACCCCAUGCCCGUGCUGUGCCACCUGCACCCCAUCAUCUCCAUGCCCAUGCUGUCCCCAUGCCCACAUCAUCUUCCUGCCCACCCCACCUCUGUGCCUACACCAUUUCCAUGCCCACCCCACCCCUGCAUCCACAUUUCCCCCAUCCUGCACCCAGGCUCUGGCGAAUAAAGGAAUGGUGCCGAGUCCUACGUCGUGCUGCUCUGGGUGCUGUGCCAGCCCUGGGGAUGGGGGGACACGAGAGGACACAGACAGUGCAGGGCUACGGCAGUGCAGGGGCCGUGGCAGCAGCAGGAAGAUGUCCCCAGCACCCCGGCGUGACGCCACCCCACAUGGCAUCCUGCAGGGCCACCUGUGUCAUGAGUGCACCAGACCUCUGCCCCCUGGGGUGACACCCCCUGCUGUGGUGACAGGGAAGCGCUCGUCCUUGCAUGAGUACCCAACCCCCACACAGUUGGAAAAGGUGGGAGAUGGCCUGUGGCACCCACCUGGCUGCCAGCCCUGGGUCCCCACAUCCCUGGGAACCCCACGUCCCCAAAUCACCCGUGUCCCCAAGUCCCUCUUGUCUCCACAUCCUCAGUGUCCCUGCCCCACCAAGGUCCCCUCAUCCUGGUGUCCCUGCAGCCUCCAUGCCCAUGUGUCCCUGAUGUCAUCCCCCCCUGCCAUCCCCGAUGUCCUCACGUCCCCACGAACACCCCUAAAGCCCCUCUACAUGCAGGACCCCCGUCACUGCUGCUCAUUUCUGCCAGCCACUGCCUCCGGCUGCUUUCCUGACCAAACCUCCCUCCCUCAUUAG